GCUCUGUUUUGUCUGGUGGGUUUUUUUUGCCACUGCCGUUGUGUUAGUGGCAUCCAGGUCUCUGGAUUACUGCAUGCUUGCAGUGGGAGGAAAGGCCUGUCUACCAUGUUCUCUGCCUCCCCUUCAUGCUCUGUGAGGAGAGGGGCCUUGUCUGGCAUAUUCACCGAGGCAUUCCUGACCACUAGAACUGUGCUUGGCACAGAGUAGACACUUAAUAAACUCCUGCUGCAUGAACAAAAGAACAAGUGUGGAUGCUUCAAAGGAAGACUUGCACCCGGCUGACCCCCAGAGUGGGGAAGGGGUCCCACCUAAUAGGAAGAACACCAAGACUUCCCCAAGAGAAGAAGGAACGGCUCCCCCUUUCUCGGCGAGGCCAUGUGUCUGGACCCUGUGUGAGAUGCUUUCUAUACUAGCCCUUGUUGGGGUGUUGCACCCAUUUUACAGAUCAAACAACCAAGUUUAUCAGAAAUUAAAAACUCAUUUAAGAUGCCAAAGCUCACGAGUGGAUGGUUUGAUGCUGAAGCCAACAUUGUUAACACCAUCUCAGCUCAAAAGCCCUGAAGGCCACUUAAUUCUACCAACCUUCAACCAUCUUGUCAUAAGACACAUCCUCGACCCAAAGCAGAUAUUCUGUGUAGCUGAUGUGUGUACAGAUUGCAAAUUCAAUUGCGGAAGCAUAGAGAGGCACCAGAAGAGGCAUCUUAUGAGAGUCAGCCAGGACUGGUAAUGAGCAAACCAUCACCUUGAAUAGCCUCUGAGAGGGAACAUUUAAUAAGAUACAGAAACCAGAUUUGCUUGAGCUGAAUGCUGGAUCGCCAUGGCAACCUUCCUUUGGAGGUUAUCCAAGUCAGGUAGUGACAGCAAAGCUGAGUUAAAGGUCACCCCUGCUGAGAAAGAUGGGCAUUGAUAAAGGAUUUUAACAAGACCCAGAGGAGCUGAUAUUUGGAAGCUACCUAUAGAGGAUCGACGAGGCCCUAGGAAUGGGUGGCAAACAACAUCAGGAAGAGGGGGGCAUCCUGCAGGGGCUCCCACCAGAGCCCCGACCUCGCCCUUCAGAUCGGGAGCUCCAGCCUUCACCAGAAGCUGAGAUUGGAGCUGUUCGUAAUUGUUCAAUGGAAGGGUGAACAACCAUUUUAACCAGGCAUCCAGAUGGGAAAGAAAUACACUUAUGCCACUCUACACCCAAGACACGCAUUCCUGAAAAGUUCUGAACAAGCCAAAUGCUUGCAAAUGGAACGGGCUUGAC
rnacentral:lncRNA from 1 species